rnacentral:lncRNA from 13 species
CUUAAACAUAAUAAUAAUUUUCAUCGUAAUGCAAAUGAACGCAAAGUUAAGAUCGAAAAUAUCGAAAUCGUAGUAUCGAUCGUGGCGCGUGAAGUUGACCGCGCGGAGACGAAGCCGCUUUCCGCCGUCUUCACAGCUGCAUUCACGUUUCUUUCUCAGAACGCAAAUGACAUGGGACGGACGGGCUCCGGAACGUCGGCGUCAUUGCGGCUCAUUUAACAGACGGUGGAUGCGAUGCAGAUUGAAGCGGGAGCGAAUGGCGUGGCAAACUAAUUAAUGGAACGCAACGGACGCGGGAUGGACGUGCUUCGGAACGGAGGCGUCAUUGCGGCUCGUUUAACAGAACGCGACGGAUGCAGGAUAGAUUGGAACUGGAGCGAGCGGCGGCGUCGCGACUCAUUUAACAGAACGCGGCGUAACAGAAAGGAUCAACUCCGGGACGAAUGGCGUUACGAUUCGUUUAAUUAAUUGUAUAGUGUCGUAUAUACUACAAUUUUAUUAUUGCACAUCGUGGGAAUAUAAUCUGAAGAGAAGAUCUGACAACUCGGAAAUAAAUUACUUAAAAGAAAUAUCGGGUUUCGGUGGACAAACUUUGCGAUUUAUUGCAGCAAUGUGUCUGUCAACGCCACUGUUACGCAUUGAUUGGUGAGUGAUAAAAAAAUUUCUAAAAGAGGUAACGACACUAUGAAUUAUAGUAAGCCAUUUUACUUUUUAAUAAUAUAAAAAAAACGUGUUUUAACAAAAACGUUCAAAACAAAUUGUUUAAAAAAAUUAAGUUUAAAUAAAU